CACGUAGGCGGCCCGUCAAGCGUCUUGUGAAAUCCCUCGGCUCAACCGAGGAAUUGCUUGGCGAACUGGCGGGCUUGAGACAGGCAAGGGUGCGUGGAACUCUUGGUGGAGCGGUGAAAUGCGUAGAUAUCAAGGGGAACGCCGGUGGCGAAAGCGAUGCACUGGGCCUGACCUGACGCUGAGGUGCGAAAGCUAGGGUAGCGAACAGGAUUAGAUACCCUGGUAGUCC
rnacentral:rRNA from 1 species